GAUGAACGCUGGCGGCGUGCCUAAUACAUGCAAGUCGAGCGAACAGACGAGGAGCUUGCUCCUCUGACGUUAGCGGCGGACGGGUGAGUAAAACGUGGAUAACCUACCUAUAAGACUGGGAUAACUUCGGGAAAACGGAGCUAAUACCGGCUCAUAUAUUGAACCGCAUGGUUCAAUAGUUAAAGACGGUUUUGCUGUCACUUAUAGCUGGAUCCGCGCGGGAUUAGCUAGUUGGUAAGGUAACGGCUUACCAAGGCAACGAUGCGUAUCCGACCUGAGAGGGUGAUCGGCCACACUGGAACUGAGACACGGUCCAGACUCCUACGGGAGGCAGCAGUGGGGAAUCUUCGACAAUGGGCGAAAGCCUGAUGCAGCAACGCCGCGUGAGUGAUGAAGGCCUUCGGAUCGUAAAGCUCUGUUAUUGGGGAAGAACAGAUGUGUAAUUAAAUAUGCACGUCUUGACGGUACCCAAAGAGAAAGCCCCGGCUAACUACGUG
rnacentral:rRNA from 1 species